AAGUCGUAACAAGGUUUCCGUAGGUGAACCUGCGGAAGGAUCAUUAUUGAAAACACUUGGUUGGGUUGUUGCUGGCUCUUCGGGGCAUGUGCACACUCACUCCAUUUUUCAACCACCCAUGCACCUAGUGUAGGCUUUGAAUAUGAGCAGUGCUGCUCUCAGCAUUUCUCGUAAUCUAGGUCUAUGUUUUUACAUACUCCAUAAGAAUGUAUCAGAAUGUUGUAUAUAGGCUUUUGUGCCUUUGAAACAAUAAAACAACUUUCAACAACGGAUCUCUUGGCUCUC
rnacentral:misc_RNA from 1 species